rnacentral:rRNA from 1 species
GGCGAGUGAGCGGCAAAAGCUCAAAUUUGAAAUCUAGCACCUUCGGUGUUCGAGUUGUAAUUUGAAGAUGGUAACCUUGGGUUUGGCUCUUGUCUAUGUUCCUUGGAACAGGACGUCAUAGAGGGUGAGAAUCCCGUCUGAUGAGAUGCCCAUUCCUAUGUAAGGUGCUAUCGAAGAGUCGAGUUGUUUGGGAAUGCAGCUCUAAGUGGGUGGUAAAUUCCAUCUAAAGCUAAAUAUUGGCGAGAGACCGAUAGCGAACAAGUACAGUGAUGGAAAGAUGAAAAGAACUUUGAAAAGAGAGUGAAAAAGUACGUGAAAUUGUUGAAAGGGAAGGGCAUUAGAUCAGACUUGGUGUUUUACGAUUAUCUUCUCUUCUUGAGUUGUGCACUCGUAUUUCACUGGGCCAGCAUCGAUUCGGAUGGCAAGAUAAUGGCAGUUGAAUGUGGCUUCACUUCGGUGGAGUGUUAUAGCUUCUGCUGAUAUUGCCUGUCUGGAUCGAGGGCUGCGUCUUUUGACUAGGAUGCUGGCGUAAUGAUCUAA